GGAAGGAUCAUUAUCCUUUAGCGUAGUAUUACUCAUGAUACUACAAGCGCAGCAGCAUCGUUGCUUGCGUCAAAAUUCACAUCAUCUCUGAGUGCUUCAUAUCAGAGGUGAGCUCAAAUCCAUGUUUGCGUGAACAUGGUCGGGUACCUAUGCUACUUGCAAUUGUACUAACCCUACAAGAGCAUGAGCGUAAGCGGUGUGGCACACAUCGUGUGGCUUAAAGAUUAUUCAGCUCGUUGUGAAUAACGCCCGUACUAGCCUUAAAUGACUACUUAACUUUAUUUCAAAAUCGCGUUGUUUUACUUGUGUAUAAUCGUGUCUAGCACUAGCUGACAUAACAAACACAAAUACAACCCUAUGCGGUGGAUCACUUGGCUCGCGAGUCGAUGAAGAGCGCAGCAAACUGCGUGAAUUAAUGUGAUUUGCAGGACACAUUGAUCAUCGACAUCUUGAACGCAUAUUGCGGUUAUGGAUCGCUUCCGUGACCACGCCUGUCUGAGGGUCGGUAUAAAUUUGUAAAAACGUCUAGAGUUUACUCUCUAGCUCGGUCGUUAGGAAUUCACGUUCUCUAUCGACUUUAGAUGCGUCUAGACCGAUCUUAUGUUGGUCUAUAGGCAUGGCGUUGUUUUCACAUCCAGCGCACUCCAGUGCUGUGUUCAAGCAAAAAUUGCGUUGCAUAACAAAAAUUUGCUUGUCUCGGCAUUUGUACGUGUACUAGAUGACCUAGCAGCGAAAACAACACUCCAAGAGUGCCACAUACCAAAUAAUAUAUCAUUAUUCGACCUCAGAUCAGACGAGAUU
rnacentral:misc_RNA from 1 species